rnacentral:rRNA from 1 species
GAGUUUGAUCCUGGCUCAGGAUGAACGCUAGCGGGAGGCUUAACACAUGCAAGUCGAGGGGCAGCACGAUGUAGCAAUACGUUGGUGGCGACCGGCGCACGGGUGAGUAACGCGUAUGCAACCUACCCUGUACUGGGGGAUAGCCCGGAGAAAUUCGGAUUAAUACCCCAUAAAGAUAUUUUAAGGCAUCUUUUAAUAUUUAAAGUUUCGACGGUACGGGAUGGGCAUGCGUGACAUUAGCUAGUUGGUAGGGUAACGGCCUACCAAGGCUACGAUGUCUAGGGGUCCUGAGAGGGUGAUCCCCCACACUGGUACUGAGACACGGACCAGACUCCUACGGGAGGCAGCAGUGAGGAAUAUUGGUCAAUGGGCGCAAGCCUGAACCAGCCAUCCCGCGUGCAGGAAGAAGGCGCUAUGCGUCGUAAACUGCUUUUCCAGGGGAAGAAAA